GGUUUCGGCUGUCACUUAUAGAUGGACCCGCGCCGUAUUAUCUAGUUGGUAAGGUAACGGCUUACCAAGGCGACGAUACGUAGCCGACCUGAGAGGGUGAUCGGCCACACUGGAACUGAGACACGGUCCAGACUCCUACGGGAGGCAGCAGUAGGGAAUCUUCCGCAAUGGGCGAAAGCCUGACGGAGCAACGCCGCGUGAGUGAUGAAGGUCUUCGGAUCGUAAAACUCUGUUGUUAGGGAAGAACAAAUUUGUUAGUAACUGAACAAGUCUUGACGGUACCUAACCAGAAAGCCACGGCUAACUACGUGCCAGCAGCCGCGGUAAUACGUAGGUGGCAAGCGUUAUCCGGAAUUAUUGGGCGUAAAGCGCGCGUAGGCGGUUUCUUAAGUCUGAUGUGAAAGCCCACGGCUCAACCGUGGAGGGUCAUUGGAAACUGGGAAACUUUGAGUGCAGAAGAGGAGAGUGGAAUUCCAUGUGUAGCGGUGAAAUGCGCAGAGAUAUGGAGGAACACCAGUGGCGAAGGCGGCUCUCUGGUCUGUAACUGACGCUGAUGUGCGAAAGCGUGGGGAUCAAACAGGAUUAGAUACCCUGGUAGUCCACGCCGUAAACGAUGAGUGCUAGUGUUAAGGGGGUUUCCCGCCCCUUAGUGCUGCAGCUAACGCAUUAAGCACUCCGCCUGGGGGAGUACGACCGCAAGGUUGAAACUCAAGGAAUUGACGGGGACCCGCCACAAGCGGUGAGCAUGUGGUUUAAUUCGAAGCAACGCGAGAAUCUUAA
rnacentral:rRNA from 1 species